rnacentral:snRNA from 1 species
GUGCUCAUUUCAGCAGCACAUAUAUUAAAAUUGGAAUGAUAUAGAGAAGAUUAGCAUGGCCCAUGUGUAAGGAUGACACACAAAUUCUUGAAGCAUUCCAUAUUCCU